UCUUAUUUUAUUCUGCACUUACUUUAAAUCCUCCACAUUAAUUCAUUCUCAUUUACUGUAAAAUCCUUCAGAAUAUUCUGAGAGCGUCGGACAAGUUUUAAUUAAACCAUGACGAUAAUCAAAAUAUGCAUAUAUUACAAUGCAAUCAUCAUAUGAGAGAAGAUAGUUGAGGAAGGGUUUCUGUAAUGAUAUUUUGCAUUGGCAGCUCAUGCCUCAGUGCUCUGGGAGUGUUUAUAGUUCUGUGAACGAUUUUAACACACAAGAUCUGUCCACUCGAAUACAGAAGACAAUAUGAUUCUCUUCAUCUGGGCAUUUUUCUGCAUCCAAGGCUCUUUGGGGCAGGUCGUUGUGACUCAACCUGAGUUCAAAUCAGUUCAGCUUGGUCAAACAGUCUCUAUUGAUUGUAAGGUCAACACUGUAGUUUAUAGGUAUCCUGAGGGUUCAGUAUCCAAAGAUUUCUACAUCUCCUGGUACAUUCAGAAGGCAGAGGAACCCCCUAAACUCCUUGUAUAUUUCACAACAAUGAAGCCCUCGAGUGCUCCAUCUAGAAUGAGCGGUGGAGGCAGUUUUCACUCUGGAGGAAAUGGUCUUGAUUUCACUCUGACCAUCAGUGAUGCCCAGCUUGAAGAUGCGAGAGAUUAUUACUGUCAGAGUUACCAUGCGAUCAGUGGUAAAGCAGUGUUCACACAGUGAAAAAAUGCCACACAAAAACCUCCCUUGGUUAAACCUCAGAGAAUCCUCUCUCUCUCUAC